rnacentral:rRNA from 1 species
UGGGGAAUAUUGGACAAUGGGCGAAAGCCUGAUCCAGCCAUGCCGCAUGAGUGAAGAAGGCCUUUGGGUUGUAAAGCUCUUUUAGUGAGGAAGAUAAUGACGGUACUCACAGAAGAAGUCCUGGCUAACUCCGUGCCAGCAGCCGCGGUAAUACGGAGAGGGCUAGCGUUAUUCGGAAUUAUUGGGCGUAAAGGGCGCGUAGGCUGGUUAAUAAGUUAAAAGUGAAAUCCCGAGGCUUAACCUUGGAAUUGCUUUUAAAACUAUUAAUCUAGAGAUUGAAAGAGGAUAGAGGAAUUCCUGAUGUAGAGGUAAAAUUCGUAAAUAUUAGGAGGAACACCGGUGGCGAAGGCGUCUAUCUGGUUCAAAUCUGACGCUGAAGCGCGAAGGCGUGGGGAGCUAACA